ACACGUUACCGUCGCCUUAUCAUGAAAUACAUCCUAUAAUACAUCCUAUGCUAUACAUCUUAGGAUCCUACGAGAAGAUCCUAGGAUGUAUAGCAGUUGUCAUCAAUUCUAGAGGGCUAUCUUCAUUUAAUCAUUAUUGUUUCUAUAGUCGAUAAGAGCCGAUAUGCCGCAACGUCAGCGGCAACGGUACGACAAGCGAUAAACUUGUUACUUUGCACUUUUGGAAACUUUUGAGCCAACGCAUCGAACUAAAUUUGUUUGGAGAAACAAGUUGAAGCUGAGAUAAUCUCAAAAAUAAAGAGGUUAAUUGUAAAUACAACUGCUGAGAAAAGUCGGGUUAUCUGCAACACUUUCAAAUCGCUGGAGGAAUUCAUUUUCUUGUUCAGUCAUUGAAAAAGCUAUCUCGCAGUGCAUAUAUAUAAAGCGGGGCAGAGAUUCUAUUAAAAAAAGACAAAUCAGUUUCCAGUUUAUACAAACGCUUGUUCAUCUACAACCCUACUUACAACUGGAAACCUAUUAUUUGCCAAUUUCUACACUUAAGUUAUUUUCUAUUGUAAGCGCAUAUUUUCGUUAAGGGAAUAUACCAAUACCAUUCAAUGAAUUAAUUAAAAGGAGUGAAUCAGAAGAAGAAAAAUAUCCUACGUUUUCAGUCGAUUACUUAUCGUCUGACUAGGGUCCGAGCGCGCAUAAUUGUUUCCGGGCGCAAUAAAUUCAUAAGCUUUUUUCAGCUAAAGAAACGAAGUUUCAAUAGACGUACACACACCGACGUAACGUAUAGUAGCACUGAGUGCUUAUUUGUCAUAGAUCAGCAUGUCCGUCCGAUCCCACAUAUAUAUUUUCCUCUAAUUAAGUUCAGCGACCAGCCAGAGCGGGAACUUACGUUAAGCCCUCUCUAAAAUAGCAACGCCUGUUUCCUGUACAAAUCCGAGCAGCGCCAGCAGCGCCGCGGAUAACGAAUCUGAGAAAUGUCUUGGCGGCUACGAUUAAUGCGCAAUGGACCAGGCCAAACGAUUCGCCGAAUUGGUCGGGCAGUUACAAAAGCUGCCCAGGCCCUUACAAGCGAUCUAAUCCGAUCUACUACAGAGGACGAACAAGAGCUAGAAGGAAAUCAAGCCCGAACUGGCGAAGAAGGCUGCGCUGACGUGGAAGAACAGCGUGAUCAGAGUGGUGAUGGCGACCGAGCUGAAACUGAUCAGGAAGAUGACUCUGAGGAAGGAAGCGAGAAUUCUGAUACCUCAACGGUUGGCACUUCGGCCAAGAUACGCUUAAGAAGACAGCACAAAAAGCGGUUCUAUCAGGGCCGUGACGACGUAUACGCUCAUCAGUAAGUUCGGCCUGAAUCGCUACUGUUUCUUGAAACUCCCUCCCAUCGAGAUAAUUUCCACAAUCUAAGGACAAUAUUAUAACUACGGCCUAUCUCUUGGUGGGUCUAGUUCAGACUAAUAUAUGUAAGGCAAUUUCGGAGAACGCUUAUGCGUUACAGGCAUUUGUAAUAUCCAUGAUGCCACUGAAACGACGUGUUCGUCUGCGAAACAUAGCAAUAUGUGGUUUUAAAUCAAACUGGGUCUAGACCUAUUUGCGUUCUGGUGAAAGCCACCCGUCUGAAGCAAAAUUUCUUUAUACUAUCAUAUGUUUACAGAAUUCUGGCGGAAGCCGGCAUCUAUCAACAGCCGAGAGAGACCACGGAAGGCGAGUGUAACAAGUAUCAAACGACCACAUUCACUAUGGUCGAGACGACACUAUCGGUCCUACGGGCGAUGCGCGCUCUCGAUGCCAAAAAUCGGGGACAGCUUAUGACACGUGUCGCCACUCUGAUUUCUAGUGAGGCACAACCAUUAUCGCCGGGCGUUUUGUACAGAUAGACAACAGAAAGACUAGGCCCUAAGUCCUAUUUGUACCGUUCUGAAAACCUUCCUGUGCGCGAUAAAGCUAUUCCACAAACAAAAACACACGUAUCUUACAGGACCACGCGUUUCUCUAUGCGUGGUGAACGAACCUUGUCAAAAAUCAGGGAAAAUCCGAACAAACAGGAGGAAGUCUCGUCUGGUGGGGGGUUACUAUUGGAAAUACACAAGGAAAAGAGAUAAAAAUCUUAUGUGAUAUAUUAUGACGAUGGCGGAUUGUUUGUUGUUGUAUGUACAAUAAUACAAUAAAAGCUAACCAC